rnacentral:rRNA from 1 species
GAUGAACGCUGGCGGCGUGCCUAAUACAUGCAAGUCGAGCGAACAGACGAGGAGCUUGCUCCUCUGACGUUAGCGGCGGACGGGUGAGUAACACGUGGAUAACCUACCUAUAAGACUGGGAUAACUUCGGGAAACCGGAGCUAAUACCGGAUAAUAUAUUGAACCGCAUGGUUCAAUAGUCAAAGACGGUUUUUCUUUCACUUAUAGAUGGAUCCGCGCCGUAUUAGCUAGUUGGUAAGGUAACGGCUUACCAAGGCAACGAUGCGUAGCCGACCUGAGAGGGUGCUAGGCCACACUGGAACUGCGACGCGGUCCAGACUACUACGGGAGGCAGCAGUAGGGAAUCUUCCGCAAUGGGCGGAAAACUAACGGAGCAGCGACGCGUGAGUAGUGAAGGUCUUCGGAUCGUAAAGCUCUGUUAUUGGGGAAGAACAAAUGUGUAAGUAACUAUGCACGUCUUGACGGUACCUGGUCAGAAAGCCACGGCUAACUACGUG